rnacentral:lncRNA from 10 species
GGAGCUCAGUGGCCCAAGAGCUAGGAUGUAAAGCUGACCUCUGAAUGGGUAUUAUGUCCUAUCGAAGUCUAUUGUUUCAUGAAGCCCAGGCCUAACAAUGUCCCAUUGUGGCAGAUGCAAGGGCGAGUUGGUUAAAUCCCAGUUUUCCACAUUUUCCCUUCAUUUUCAGUCUCCAGGUCUGUCCCCCUGAAGAUGGUUCCUCUCACCACCUGGGCUGCCACCACGCUGGCCAUGUAAGUAAGGAUGGUUUACAGGCUCCUCCAUCUGAUUUGGGGACACUGGAAAUCUCUUGUCUUUUCUCUGAUUUUUAUUAAGUAUAUAUAAAACCUAUGGCUCCUAUUUCAAGAGAGAAGGCCCAGGAAAAACUAUCUUUGGAACUGCCAAGCCAGAGCUACUGCCUCCCUGCAAAGCCACCUUUGGAACUACAAGGACACUCUAUACACAUGGAAGAUGCUCUUAAGGCUUUUAAGUAUAUCAGUGGAUGGUUUGAUACUUUCAUUCUAAAGGGAAUAUAAAGGCCAACUUCAACUGCAAGAGAUUGUUUUGCUGUACAUAAGCCUGGAAUGGGCAUUAAUCACUAAGUGGAUUUUUAAAUCCCUGGAGUAAAACAACAAAAACUCUAUGGCUACCAAGGUUUCUUGCUGCACACGGAUUUCUGGGUCACAUGACAUCUUUGUAUUGGCAUUGUCUGCACCAGGAUUGAAUAACCAGGAUUGGAGACAGUUACUAAGAAGGCCCUGGGAUGAUAGAAAAUUACAUGGAAAUCAUCUAUUUCACAUCUCACCUCCUACACAGAGCUGGCGGUGACUUCUAACUAGGAGGUUUUACAUAGCUGGGUGUUUUCUACUGAGCAGCAGGGAAACGAAAACCCAGAUGUUUCCAAGAAGGAAAAUGUGGUGGUUGCCAAUCUGUUCUGUGAUCAAGUUCUCUGCCUUUCCCUUCCUCCUUGGGUCAGAGGACCUUGAUACAGACAGAUCUUGGUACUGAUGCCCUAAGACAAGAAAGCCUCUGAGGUGGGGGCACUCAGAAGAGAAAAGCUGGGUCUCUUAGGCUGACCCCUUCAAGUAGGUGUCUAAGUACUUGCAGUGUUUAACAAGUACUCCUAUGUCUGGACAGGAGCCCAUAAAGUGUAACUGGAAGAAAAGAACACCAGCCCUGACAUUCACCUUUUGUGGGUGACCCCAGGCCAGCUGCUCAACCCCUCUGUGGUCUCUUCCUCCACCUAUGGAAUAGGGACAAUAACUGUCUUAUUUUUCUCACUGGAAUGUCGUUGAGGAACAAAGAGACAGACCUAUGUAGGUGGGCAUACUUUAUGCAAGAAAUUGUCCUUGGAACUACCCCUCCCCCACUUCCUCUAUGUCUCACUUAUCACAAGUACAUCACGUGACUAUUCUUAGAUGAAUCACCAGCAAGGAGAAUAUUAACCCAAUUGCUGGGACCAAUAAAGAGUCAACGUUUCUUUGGACCUGGAGAGGGAGUCCUGGACACCAGACACCUAAACAAAAUCUGGAUUCUGUUAUAAAGGUAAAGAAGAGGGCAUGGCUUUAUGGGGAUAAAGAAGAGAAUUUGUUGCAACAUGCCUGUUGUAGCUGGCACAUUCACUUGAAGCUGUUUAGUCCCAUCUAACAAUGUUUAGACAAUGAAGUGUCUGAGAUCCUUCCAUUGUUUUCCAAGGGAAAGGGUAAAUACCAUGUUCCGCCAGAACUGAGGACGGCUCUUGAAUAAACACAACUACUGAUUUCUGUGGCACCAGUUGUAUGCCAAAUGCCACAUGCCCGGCACUGCACUGCGCUAAGCAUUUUAGCCCAUAGCUCAUUUUGUUCUUACCACAGUUUUGCAAAGUAGAUGCUAUUACCCUCAUUUAUGCAAAUGAAAGAAAACAGACAAACACUUGCUUCAAGGAAAGUUAAGUAACUUGUCAAAGUCACAAGCUAAGCCAUGACAGAGGUGAGAGCCAGCCCACACCUACCUCAGGCCCAAGCUCCUUCUCUUCCGGCAUACAUCUCCACUGCUUGAUUCCCAAGACAAGUGUGCGGGGAGCAGGAACUUGUGAUAGUGAUGGAGGGGUGUUAAGUGGGGGAAAGGAGAUCCUGCUGUUUGGAGCAGGAGAGAACACAGCCUUUCAUGAUGUUGAGCAUUGGGAGAAGUGUGCUAACACACUUUCAGAUCAUCAGAAAGGAUUACUAAUUGUAAAGAAACCCUAGAGUUUGCCAAGGGUCCUUAACAUCUUCAUGUGGCCCAUCAUCAGAAUGGAGGGUCUGAGAGGGCAGCCACGGCUGGGAUGUGGAGAGAAGGGGACAACGUCUAUGUAUGACAGCAGGGGCAGAGGAAAGAUAGCUUUAUGCCCUCCCAAAGGUACUAUGCUGCUGUAGAACUGGAGACCGAGAGUCGGGAUAAAAAGGAGUCCCUGAGCUUAUCCAGGAGGAGGUGUUGAUUGAUUGAGGACAGUGGGAAUCCAGGAGUUAGAGUGGACAAGACUUUUACCCUCUUUCUGCCCAGAAAAGGUGGGUUCUCAGCACUGCUGAUUAUAAUGGAAAAAAAAAUAGGGCUGACUUAGAAAACCAUUCAACAGAUACACCAAAAGAUUCAGAUUAUUUCAUAAAGCUUUUCAUUAGGAACCUGGAAUCCACUUUGCAUCCAUCCAAAUGACAAGUCAAGGCUGACAACAAGGCUUGUGUUGCACUUCAUAAUAUGCAAAGUGUCUGUACAUGCACCAUCUCAUGCGACAUCUGAGGUGCCUGUCACUCCCCUCUCAGAUGAUGAAAUAGGCGCUGAUGGAAACAUUCUCUAUCUGCUUGCUCUAUGCCGUAGCCACAGCCACAUGUAGCUUUUGGGCACUUGACUGUGACUAGUACAAUUAAGGAACUGAAUUUUUAAUUUUAACUAAUUUAAGUUUUAAUUUAAGAAGCCACCUGUGGGCCAGGCGUGGUGGUUCACACCUAUAAUCCCAGCACUCUGGGAGGCUGAGGCAGGUGGAUCACCUGAGGUCAGGAGUUCAAGGCCAACCCAGCCAACAUGGCAAAACCACAUCUCUACUAAAAAGUGUAAAAAUUAUCUGGGUGUGGUGGUGGGCCUCCGUAGUCCCAGCUACUUGGGAGGCUGAGGCAGGAAAGUCACUUGAAUGCAGGAGGCAGAGGUUGCUGUGAGCCAAGAUUGUGCCACCGCACUCCAGCCUGGACAACAGAGUGACACUCCGUCUCAAAAAAAAAAAAAAAAAGAAGAAGCCACCUGUGACCUGUGGUUCUGUAUUGCCGGUGCACUUGUAGAUGUUGAGGACUUGCCCAAGUUCAUGGCUCCAGUCAGCUGCAGUGCGUUACUCCUCUAUUUCCAAUAACAGAUUGCAACAGAAAUUUUUUCUGGGUUCCUUAAGUUAAUCAUUAACCUGAUUUAAAUGUCAGAAAUUUAAUUCUGUUGUGGAAACUUCUCAAGGAUGAAUGCUAUAAGGGGAAAGGACCAAUAAUAGUUGAAAUGAACAUUCCCUUAUGUCAGUUAGGUCUGGAUUUGAUGGGCAAUGGGAGCAUAGCAUAUAUUCCAGCACUUGAGUGAAGUUUUCCACGCAGGUUGUGGGGAAACAAAUGAGCUUCUGCACCCAGUAAUGCCGGCAAUUGUCUAAAAGAGACUACUCAGUGAGAGGCAUGACCAUAGCUGUCCUUCACCUUCUGGGAGGAAAGUCUCUCUUGUGAUUUACUGGUAGCCAUAAAUCUUGGAAGGUCCUAGGCACCCAACAGAAAUCUGACAUUAUUGCUGACAUCAUGAUCUGACACUAUUUCUGCUCAUCAACACUGUUAGGGCAAUUGAAGGGACAUAGCAGCGGCAAGGGCCCAAGAAGGAGUGCAGGAAGGGAGGAGCGUUCAUCAGUGUAACCUCAUGCUUUCAUGGAAAAGAGGGGCAAGGGGAGUAAGAAUUACAGCAAGUUCCCAGGGAAAAUAUCUAAUCUGUUUUGAGGGUGUAUGUACAGUCCUCUGUUAAUCUAAACAAAGAUUCCCAUCUGCGCGGGGAUGAGGACCAUCAUCUCACUCUCAGUGCGGCCCCAGGUACUGUUUCCCUAUCUCAACUCUUUGCCUACUAAGGGAUUUUGGACUUGGUUGGGAAAAUGUGCCAAUGACAACACUGACCCCUCCCGCCCAAGCCUGACCUUCGGGAGGCUUGGGUUACCCUGUUGCGUGAAGUCGAGGGAUUCCCAGCAUGUUGGACAUUCCUAUCUCCUUAGCCUGCCUCCAGAUAGCUCCCUUCCUUCCUGGAUAGAUAGAAGUAUAGGUUAGCCAGGCAGGCAGGUGACCCUCACCUCCACCCCGGAUUUAGUCAGAAAUUUCAUUCCAUCAUCAUUAUUAAUAGCUGGGUGUGCUAAUGUUUCCUGAAGAACAUGAUAAGAACCACACAAAAUCUGAAGGAAACAAAUCCAUGACUCGGCACUUUCCCUCGUACUCGACAGCAAUGGAGAGUUCCUGGUUGACCCAAGAAUAUCUGUGAGGCCUGGGACUCUUGCCCAAUGUCUGCGUGAAAAUCUAAUCUUAUGUGGGAUAAGGGUGUGCAGCCACUGAAACUUAGAAAAAUCAUAGACAGACUCUGUGUAAUGUCACCCUCGAGCCCUGCAGCUGCCCGAAGUCAAUGAACAGAACCGCAUUCUAACUACAGUGCCAGUUGCUGCUUCCUGAAUUCCAAUUAGUUUGCUAAAGGGAGGAAACCUAAAGUUUACUGAGAAUUGUCUUCAAGGUUUUUAUAUGCAUCUCAGAUUAGUCCCUCCAUCUCCCUGUGAGAUAAGAAAUAUGGACUGAUUGUAGAGGUGGAGAAGCUGAGGUUCAGAGAAGUUAAGUGAUUAGCUCAAGAUCACACAGCUAAUUAGAAGAGCCCAAAUCCAAACCUGACCUGUUCGUCUCUCAGCACCGAGCUCCUACCCCAGGCAACAUGAUCUGAAUGGGGGCUGGGUACCCACUGGUAUGGACUGAAUUGUGCCUCCAAUACAAAAUAAUUGUAUGUUGAAACCAUAACUCCCAAUGUGACCGCAUUCAGAGGUCAGGCUUUUAGGAAGGUAGUUAAGGUUCAAUGAGGUCAUAAGGGGGUGCCCAAAGCAAUAGAACUGAUGUUCUUAUAAGCAAAGGAAGCCUGGGCAACACAGUGAGACCCUCUUUCUAUAACAUAAAAAAAAAAAUUAGCCAGCCAUGGUGGCACACACCUGUGAUCCUGGCUACUUGGGAGGCUGAGGUAGGAGAAUUGCUUGAGCUCAGGAGUUUGAGGCUGCAGUGAGCCAUGAUCACACCACUGCACUCCAGCCUAGGUGACAGAGUGAGGCUCUGUCUCAGAAAAGAAAAAGAACUGGCACCAUGACUCUCUCUCCAAGUGAACACAAAAAAAGAGUUCAUGUGAGCAUCCAGUGAGAAGGUGGACAUCUGCGAGCCAGGGAGAGAGGCCUCACCAGAAACCUACCCUGCAGGCACCUUGACCUUGGAUUUCCAGCCUCCAGAGCUAUGAGAAAAUAAGUGUUCAUUGUUUGGGCCAUCCAGCCUUAGGGAUUUUGUGAUGGCAGCUUGAGCAGACUAGUACACCCACCUUGGUGCCUUUAAGACUUUCUCUUCAAAACACCUCAUAUAACACUCAGAAAAAUGCCAUGCUUACCUAAUCCCACGUCCCACAGCGCCUUCCUAACCCCUACUGCCUCUCCAGCAGGGCCAGGGCUGGGUAAGGUGGGGAGGUACUUUCUUUCCCAGGGCACAAAAAUGACAGGGAUACCAAAAACUCAGUAAUUAAAUAACAUUUUAAUUAAAUGUUUUAAAAAAUCAAAAUUAGGCCGGGCACAGUGACUCAUGCCUGUAAUCCCAGCACUUUGGAAGGCCAAGGUGGGCAAAUCACGAGGUCAAGAAAUAGAGACCACCCUGGCGAACAUGGUGAAACCCUGUCUCUACUAAAAAUACAAAAAUUAGCUGGGUGUGGUGGCGUGCGCCUGUAGUCCCAGCUACUCGGGAGGCUGAGGCAGGAGAAUAGCUUGAACCUGGGAGGUUGCAGUGAGCCAAGAUCAUGCCACCACACUCCAGCUUGGUGACAAAGUGAGACUCCAUCUAGAAAAAAAAAAAAAAAGUCAAAAUUAAUGCAAAAACUCCAUAAGACUUUGGAUACUUCACAAUUUUGCCCACAAACUCCGCCUCCCGGGUUCAUGCCAUUCUCCUGCCUCAGCCUCCCAAGUAGCUAGGACUGCAGGUGCCCGCCACCAUGGCUGGCUAAUUUUUCUGUAUUUUUAGUAGAGAUGGGGUUUCACCGUGUUAGCCAGGAUGGUCUCGAUCUCCUGACCUCGUGAUCUGCCCACCUCGGCCUCCCAAAGUGCUGGGAUUACAGGCAUAGAGCCUCUGUGAGUGGAACCCAAACUUCAUGCUUGAGAUAACGGAACUACCCUUUUUUCCUCAUUACAGAUUAUUAAGAUGUUAAGGUCAGGCACAGUGGCUCACGCUUGUAAUCCCAGCACUUUGGGAGGCCAAGGCAGGCGGAUCAUUUGAGGCCAGGAGUUAAAAGACCAGCCUGGCCAACAUGGCAAAACCCCUUCUCUACUAAAAAUACAAAUAUUAGACAGGCAUGGUGGUGCACACCCGUAAUCCCCGCUACUUGGGAGGCUGAGACAUGAGAAUCGCUUGAGCCCAGGAGGCAGAGGUUGCAGUGAGCCAAGAUCACGCCAUUGCACUCCAGCCUGGGUGACAGAGGCAGACCCUGUCUCAAAAAAAUAAAAGAUGUCAAUAAUAAUCAACAAGCACGGGCUGGACACCGGCUGUGUUGUAGGCUUUGUCCUGGGUGCAGAGUAUUCAGUAGUGAGCAGGGCAGAUGAGGCCAGCCUCAUGGAGAGGGCAGUCUGUAGGGGAACAGAAACAAGUAAGGGGCUGCAAGAGUCCACAGCACUGGGGCCACAUGUGGUGCUUGCAAAGGAGAGUGGAUGAUAGAGGCAUAUGGAGGACACCUAAGCUUGAGUGAGAGCAUCAGGAAGGUGCCCCUGGGGAAAGAGGCAUCUUUGGCAGUUUAGCAAGUGACAGAGGUGGGAACACCCAGAUCUAGGCAGAGAAGAAACAUGUAAGAAUCUUCAAAUUGCUGCUGUUUACUGAGCACUGACAGAUUACAAACAUCGUGAUGUUGAAAGCUCAUGACAUCCUGUAGGAUAGGUGAGCUGCUUCCUCACACACUCCCAUCUGAUCCAUCGACAAAUUCCAUUGGUUCCCAUUUCAAAAUAGGUAAGAGAGUCCGACCACCUCUCCCCAGAUCCAUCCCUACCACCCCAGUCUGAGCCUCCUAAAUGGUCCCUGGCUCCCACCUUCAGUUUAGUUUAGUUUAGUUUACUUUGGUUUGGUUUUGAGACAGGGUUACACUCUGUCACCCAGGCUGGAGUGCAGCGGCAUGAUCAUGGUUCACUGCAGCCACAACCUCCCUGGGCUCAGGUGAUCAUCCCACCUCAGCCUCCCAAGUAGCUGGGACUACAGGCUUGUGCCACCAUGCCCAGCUAAUUUUUGUAUUAUUUGUGGAGGUGGGUUUUCACCAUGUUGCCCAGACUGGUCUCGAACUCCUAAGCUCAAGUGAUCCACUUGCCUCAGCCUCCCAAAGUGCUGGGAUUAUGAGAAUGAACCACCAUGUCCACCUCCUGGUUCCUCACCUUUGCUCUCUUCAGUCAUUUAUCAAUGUGGAUGCCAGAGUCAUCCUGCUAAAUGAUAAAGCAGAUCAUGCCACUUCUCUGGCUCAAGCCUUCCAAUUGCUUCUCAUCCUUACUCAGAGUAAAGUCAAAUAAAUAAAACAAUCUGCCCUGCAAAGCCUCCUUCCCAUGAGCCCUCUCCCUUCAUCUUGUUAUCACAACUCUAUAAUUUAUGUAUCUUGUUGAUACGGUUUGGCUGUGUCUUCACCCAAAUCUCAUCUUGAAUUCCCAUGUGUUGUGGGAGGGACCCAGGGGGAGGUAAUUGAAUCAUGGGGGCAGGUCUUUCCCAUGCUGUUCUCAUGAGAGUGAAUAAGUCUCAUGAGAUCUGAGGGUUCUAUAAGGGGGUGUUUCCCUGUACAAGCUUUCUUUUUGCCUGCUGCCAUCCAUGUAAGAUGUGACUUGCUUCUCCUUGCCUUCUGCCAUGAUUGUGAGGCCUCCCCAGCCAUGUGGAACUGUAAGUCCAAUAAACCUCUUUCUUUUGCAAAUUGCCCAGUUUCGAGUAUGUCUUUAUCAGCAGCGUGAAAACAGACUAACACACUUGUUUAUUGUUGUUGACUACCCAAUCACCAGAAAAACCUGUUAGUCAAUCAAAACUGGGUUUAUGAGAUUUCCUGCAAUAAAGAAGCAGACCACUUUGACAGAAUCUUAGUAGUGUUUCAAAAUGAGAAGUUAGAGCAGAGUCUUUGUGGGGAUUUAAGGCUUCAACUAGGUGAUGCCAAGGAUGAUCUUGUAAGGAGGAGAAUUGGCUGGAAUCAGAUGAUGUAUGACAUACCAGCUUUGAAUUGGUGGGAGGAUUGAGGUGAGGGUCUUGUAGGGUUUGAUACGUAAACUGUUAGUCUUGAUAAACAAGCACCAUUUCCUAGUAUUGUUUAAUACAUCAAUUGAGAAUUAUUUCUGUUUCAGUUCUCACACCACUAGAAUGUAAGUUCUACGAGGGCAUGGAUUACUUUUUCUGUUUUGUUCACCUGUAUCCCAUCUCAUAGAAUAAUGCAGAUAUUGAGAGUAGAUAUCAAUAAACAUUUGUCAAAUAAAAUAGUGUGUUAUUAUUUCCAUUUUUUAAAUAAGGAAACUGUAACUCAAAUAACUUCCCUUAGUCACAUACUAGAUGAACACAGGGCUAUUUGAUUCUAAAAACAAACUCUCCAGCACCACUGUGCUGAUGGUAACAAAUGGUUACAGAGGCACUAUGUGUUAAGUGCUUUGAAUAUAGUCAUUUAACUCAAUAACUCUACAAUGAAGGCACUAUCAUUAUCCCCCUAUU